CGAGGCCUCCUGACAACAGUUAUGUGGGUCAAGCCCUCAGAUGAUUGCAGCCUCAGCCAAGGUGUUGACUACAUGAGUGCUCUGAGCCCAAAUCACCCAGGUAAGCUACUCCUGAAGACCUGACUUAGAAGAAAUUAUAAGAUAAUAAACAUUUGUUUUUUUAUUUUAGUUUUUUAAAUGUUUAUUUAUUUUGAGAGAGAGAGGGAGGGGCAGAGAGAAAGAGAGAGAGAGAGAGAGAGAGAGAGAGAGAGAGAGUGUGAGUGAGUCCCAAGCAGGCUCCACGCUGUCAGCUCAGAGCCCAAUGUGGGGCUCCAACUCGAACCGUGAGAUCAUGACCUGAGCCGAGAUCAAGAGUCUGAUGCUUAACUGACUGAGUCACCAGUCGCCCCACAUUUGUUGUUUUAACACUAAAUUUGGGAGUAAUUUGCUAUUCAGAAGUAGAUAAUUAAUGCAAUAUUCAAAUGAAAAAAUAUCCUCGUACUCUGUACACUUACACAUCUAUGUAUUUGCUUGUGGGAUUUUACAGACACGUGCACAUUAUUUUACUAUUUUAUUACUGGACAAAGAAUUUGUGGACUUCCAUAAUUAUAGUAUACUUGUGUGAAUAUAGAUAAGGUUAUCUUACCUGUGGAAGAAAUUAUUAUACAUGUGUAGAUCUCUCCCAUUUCCUUUUUAACACUGAAUCUUUGUGGAAUACGGUGAAAUGUGUUCUGAGAAGGAAGGAAAAGAAACUCCUAAUAUUUCAGUAUUUCUUGAUAGGGUAACUGCUCAUGUUUACCCUAAGUUCUUUGUAUGCAGGAUUAGGGUAGAAUGAAUGGAGCAAACUCCUCAUAGUACUUAACUAUUUUAUUUCUAAGUGAUGAUGCAAAAGUGUCAGAAGCCAGGUUUUUCCAAUUAACUACUAUAACCUUUAUACAUACAUUAAAUGGAACAGUUAGUAAUAACAUUUGGAAUUGUAAGAGUGACAUACGGAAUCAAGAAAGACCUUUGAAAUGAAAUUAAGGAAUAGUCAAGAGGCAAAAGUCCAUAGGAAGCAGGCUUCAAGGAAAACUGAAUAAAAGUGUUCCUGAUGGCAUUUGCUUUUUCUUUUGCAUAUUGAGACCAACAGGCAAAGAAAAAGGGUAAAAAAUUCCUUCUCAAAUGGUAUCAGCAGAUUAGUUUGCAUAGCAGUUUGUAUGUAUUUAACCCAAAAUAUAAACAAAUAAAUUAACCCAAAAUAUAAACAAACGAUUUUUGGAUAGUACUGGUAGGCAUAAAGCCUGAGAAAUAGAAAAUAAAAAAGGAAAGUUAGAAAGAAAGAGAGUGGGGAAUGAAAAAAGGCUAAAAAAUGAAGAAAACAUGGAGCCAUGUGAGUAUUCACAUGCAUAUUCCUUGGAUUCUUAACCAUGUUCCAAACUUGGGGACAAUGCAGUUAUCUGGCCAAAUCUCAUUUUCUAAGCCUAUGGCUUCCCUUGGGCCUUCAGGAAAUAAAUAGUCCACUAUCAGUCAGCAAAUGAGUACUGGCUUCCACAGCUUGGGCCCCCAUGAAAUGAGGCCAGGACUAGAGGAGAAAUUCAUCAACUUACUGCUACCCCAGCGAAGACCUCAAAACAUAGUUUCUUUCUCCUUUUUACAUCAUGUUUGUUUAGGGGCGCCUGGGUGGCUCAGUCGGUUAAGCAUCUGACUUCGGCCCAGGUCAUGACCUCACAGUUUGUGGGUUCAAGCCCCACGUCAGGCUCUGUGCUGACAGGUCAGAGCCUGGAGCCUCCUUCAGAUUCUGUGUCUCCCUCUCUCUCUGCUCUUACCCCAUUCAUGCUCUGUCUCUCUCUGUGUCGCAAAAAUAAAUUAAAAAGUUAAAAAAAAAAUUUAUAUCAUGUUUGUUUAGUGACCGUAUGACUCUAUUGUGGAUGGAAGGGCUGUAUGUGCCUUGAAUAAUCCCUGUUGGACUGUGAGAUUUUAUUAUUAAAUCCCAUGUUAUCAUACAUACCUUAAAUGAUAAGCCUGUAUGGUUGAAUUUAGGAGACCAGGUUCCCGGUGCUGUUGCAUAUACGAUCAAACUAUAGAGCUAAUUCUCCAGGCCUGGAUUGUCUAAGCAUAAACUUGUCCUGUGUAGAUGUUUAUUGUGCUGAUUAAUUUUUAUAUAAUAAAUAUGACCAACAGUCAAGACCAUAUCUGAUAAACUAAAUAGCACUAUGAAGGAAUAAAAUAUUUGAGAAUUCCUGAAAAAUCUAGCAUGCUUGCUGACCAUAAAUAUGAGGAGAGCUGUUGAGAAAACCAGAUUUUUCUAAGAGAAAAGAAUGUGUGUGUAGACAAUGUAUAUCUUAAAGGGACAUUCUUUGGUUCUUUUUAGAAUAGUAAACAAUUGUUAAAUACUUUAUUGGCUUUCUUGUUGUCAUAUAUUUAGGCAAUGUAAGCAUUCACUUGAGUAAUCAUUUCCUAACUUGGACUGAACGUGCAGGAGUUGGCUUGGAGGAGGUUAGCCUUGGAGCCCCCUGGAUUCUGUUUCUUCGGGGAGGAGGCUGGCACAGAAUCUUCAAAAAGUGUCAUUUUAUUAAAAAUGUAAACUGGGGGGCGCCUGGGUGGCGCAGUCGGUUAAGCGUCCGACUUCAGCCAGGUCACGAUCUCGCGGUCCGUGAGUUCGAGCCCCGCGUCGGGCUCUGGGCUGAUGGCUCAGAGCCUGGAGCCUGUUUCCGAUUCUGUGUCUCCCUCUCUCUCUGCCCCUCCCCCGUUCAUGCUCUGUCUCUCUCUGUCCCAAAAAUAAAUAAACGUUGAAAAAAAAAAAAUUAAAAAAAAAUGUAAACUGGGAUGGCACCUACUUUUCAACUAAGAAAAUGUUAUACAAUGUAUCUAAUGUAAAUUUAACCCUCUAAUGCAAUUUAAACCCUCCAAGGGGAAAUUAGGCAGAUUAAAAAAUUUCUUCUUAAAUUUAUUUUUAGAGAGUGAGCAGGAGAGAGGGGCAGAGGAGAGAGAGAGAAUCUCAGGCUUAGUGCAGAGACCAGCGCAGGGCUCUAUCUCACGACCCUGCUGAGAUCACGACCUGAACUGAUGCCAAGAGUCGGACCCUCAACCCAUUGAGCCACCCAGGCGCCCCACUGAAGCAGAUAUUUUUAAUCAAGGUGCCCACCAUCAUCAUUCCACAAAUCCCAUUGUUUGAAGCAGCCUAACUCAAAGAAGCCAAUUCUAACGUGAUUGAGUGGUUUUCCCAUAGUUAAAGCUAAAUUUUAACUGAGUCCUAUCUGACUUUUAUCUGAAUUUCAUCAGAACAUUAUGGUCAUGGCAUUUUAAAGAUUUCUUUCCUUUGAUUAUCCUUCCCAUUUUACAGCCCUUCCAAAUUGCAGAGAAGAUUGAGCUAGAAGUGUUUUCUUCCCCCAGAGCACACUGCUGAUAUUUCUUGGCUCAUCUCACUGAGACCAGACAUGGACCCCCUGCACACAGGGUCAUAGGAUUUGUUCAGCUGUGACCAAGAAUCUCCAGUUCUAUGGCAUAGUAGCUGAAAUGGAAAACUGCAUUUUUUACCUUGACAUCUCCUCCAUCCUAGUUUUUCAGGAUUGAUGAUUGGGGUAAGCGUAAAAACUUUUCAGUGGUUUCUUAGAUAAGAUACCAAAAGCACAAGCAACAACAAAAGAAAAAAUACAUAAAGUGAACUGCAUCAAACUUUAAAACGUUUGUGUUUCAAGGAACAGCACCAAGAAAGAGAAAAGACAGCUCACAGGAUGGGAGAAAAUAUUUGCAAAUCAUGUAUCUAAUACACCUCAGUAAUAAAAAUGCAACCCAACUGAAAAAUGGGCAAAAUCUCUGAGUAGAAAUUUCAACAAAGAAAAUAGAAAGAUGACCAAAAGCACAUGAAAGGACGCUUAGCACCCUUAAUCAUCAGGGAAUGGUAAAUCAAAACCCUCGUGAAAUACCCCUUCACAUGCACCAGGGUAACUAUAAUCAGAAGGAGAGAUAACAACAAGGAUGUGGAGAAGGAGUCCCCAGACACUGCUGGUGGGAAUGUCAAGCGGUGCCAGCACUUCGGAAAAUAGCCUGGCAGUUUCUCAGAUGGUUAAAGAUAGAGUUAACAUCUGCCCCCCAGUAAUGUCACUGCCAGGUGAAUUCAUUUCUCACCAAAGAGAAUUGGAAACACAUGUCUGCACAAAAGCUUGUAUACAAAUGCUCAUAGCAAUAUUAUUCAUAGCCAAAAUAUUCAUAUUCAUAGCAAUAGUAUUCAUAGCCAGAGAGCAGGAAAAAACCUUAAAUAUCCAUCAACUGGUGAGUGGAUAAACAAAAGAUGAUUUAUCUGAAGAAUAUGAAACACUAAUUUGAAAAGAUCUCUGUAUUCCUAUGUUCACUGCAGCAUUGUUUACAGGAGCCAAGAUAUGGAAGUAGCCCAAGUGUCCGUCCGUAGACGAGUGGAUACAGAAGAUGUGGAGAUACGUACGAUGGAAUGUUACUCAGCCAUAAGAAAGGAUGAAAUCUAGCCAUUGGCAACGACAUGAAUGGACCUUGAGGGUAUUAUGGUAAGUGAAGUAAGUCAGAUGGAAGAGGACAAAUUCUGUGUGGUUUCACUUAUAGGUGGAAUCUAAAAAACCAAACGAACGAACCAACAAAAUGAAAACAAAUUCACAGAUAUAGAGGAUGGAGUGGUGGUUGCCAGAAGGGAAAGGGG
rnacentral:lncRNA from 1 species